rnacentral:rRNA from 1 species
UCUCCUGGAAAACGGGUGGUAAUGCCGGAUGUUCCACAUGAGCGCAUGCGAGUGUGGGAAAGGCUUUUUGCGGCAUGGGAUGGGGUCGCGUCCUAUCAGCUUGUUGGUGGGGUAACGGCCUACCAAGGCGUUGACGGGUAGCCGGCCUGAGAGGGCGACCGGCCACAUUGGGACUGAGAUACGGCCCAGACUCCUACGGGAGGCAGCAGUGGGGAAUAUUGCACAAUGGGCGCAAGCCUGAUGCAGCGACGCCGCGUGCGGGAUGGAGGCCUUCGGGUUGUAAACCGCUUUUGUUCAAGGGCAAGGCACGGUCUUUGGCCGUGUUGAGUGGAUUGUUCGAAUAAGCACCGGCUAACUACGUGCCAGCAGCCGCGGUAAUACGUAGGGUGCAAGCGUUAUCCGGAUUUAUUGGGCGUAAAGGGCUCGUAGGCGGUUCGUCGCGUCCGGUGUGAAAGUCCAUCGCUUAACGGUGGAUCCGCGCCGGGUACGGGCGGGCUUGAGUGCGGUAGGGGAGACUGGAAUUCCCGGUGUAACGGUGGAAUGUGUAGAUAUCGGG